rnacentral:rRNA from 1 species
UCGCUCUUCAACGAGGAAUCCCUAGUAAGCAUGAGUCAUCAGCUCGUGCUGAUUACGUCCCUGCCCUUUGUACACACCGCCCGUCGCUACUACCGAUUGAAUGGCUUAGUGAGACCUUUGGAUUGGGGUUUAGGGAUCGGAAACGAUUCUUAUUCUCCGAGAAGUCGGUCAAACUUGGUCAUUUAGAGGAAGUAAAAGUCGUAACAAGGUUUCCGUAGGUGAACCUGCGGAAGGAUCAUUAUUAUUUGGGUCGGGUUUACUACUUAUAACUGUUGCUCAUGCGUCUCAAAUGUAAAGUAGUAAACUUUUACCAAAUAAUCCUAUAUCCAAAUAGGAGCAAGAUGAAUUUAUAUUUAAAACCCACUCUUGAAUGUAUAAAAUUUAUGUAUUAAUGAUAAAAUUAAAGAUCACUUUCAACAACGGAUCUCUUGGCUCUCGCAUCGAUGAAGAACGCAGCGAAAUGCGAUACGUAGUGUGAAUUGCAGAAUUCCGUGAAUCAUCGAAUCUUUGAACACAAAUUGUACUUUCCAGUAAUCUGGGAAGUAUGCUUGGUUGAGGGUCAUUAAAAUAACAUUCGUGAAUUUUUUUGCGGAUUUGAGUUUUCCAGUAUUUAUAUAAUAUAAAAAUGUUGGUAACUUUAAAAUCAUUAUUACUUGGUACAAGUUGAAGACGUUCUAUAUGUGUGGUUCGCUGACAACUUGUCCAUCAUCAUAUAUUAUGCGCGCACUUCGUUUUUACGCUUUGUGCGAGUAUAUAUUUUUUUUUAUGACCUCAGCUCAAGUAAGAAUACCCGCUGAACUUAAGCAUAUCAAUAAGCGGAGGAAAAGAAACUAACAAGGAUUCCCCUAGUAACGGCGAGUGAAGAGGGAAAAGCUCAAAUUUUAAAUCUACCUGGUUCCAGGUCGAAUUGUAAUUUGAAGAAGCGAUAUCGGUGUGGAGGUCUGGUUCAAGUUCUUUGGAACAAGACAUCAUGGAGGGUGAGAAUCCCGUGCAUGAUCAGACCGAAAUACUUAAUAUUCGUUUUCUAAGAGUCGAGUUGUUUGGGAAUGCAGCUCAAAAUGGGUGGUAGACUUCACCUAAGGCUAAAUAUCAGCGAGAGACCGAUAGCGAACAAGUACUGUGAAGGAAAGAUGAAAAGAACUUUGAAAAGAGAGUUAAAUAGUACGUGAAAUUGUUGAAAGGGAAACGAUUGAAGUCAGUCAUGCUAGUGAAAAAUCAGUUUGACGGGUUUUGAGUUCGGGAGUAGAGGCAGGGUCAAACCGUUUCUCUUUUGAACUUGGGAUUUGUCGGAUGUACUUUUUCUUUGGCAGGUCAGCGUCGGUUUCGGAGGUUGUAAAAUACUUGGGGAAAAGUAGCUCUGCUUCGGGAGAGUAUUAUAGACCCUGGGGGAUGCAGCCUGUGGGAUCGAGGAUUGCAGCAAAUGCUUUUUGGCUUGUCGCCUAUCUCUGGACGUUACCUCGCUUGUGACAACAUUCUUGACACCGGUGGGUACUAAUGCCCAUUACUUAGAGCGAUCGAAAAUUUUGCUAAGGAUGCUGACGUAAUGGCUUUAAACGACCCGUCUUGAAACACGGACCAAGGAGUCUAACAUAUGUGCGAGUGUUU